CGCAUAUGGGCUGAGGCCCAAAGCCGAGAGGCGCCUUUGGAGCGGCCUGCGUCCGAUUAGCUAGUUGGUGGGGUAAAGGCCUACCAAGGCUGCGAUCGGUAGCUGGUCUGAGAGGACGAUCAGCCUCACUGGGACUGAGACACGGCCCAGACUCCUACGGGAGGCAGCAGUGGGGAGUAUUGGACAAUGGGCGCAAGCCUGAUCCAGCAAUGCCGCGUGGGUGAAGAAGGUCUUCGGAUCGUAAAGCCCUUUCGACAGGGACGAUGAUGACGGUACCUGUAGAAGAAGCCCCGGCUAACUUCGUGCCAGCAGCCGCGGUAAUACGAAGGGGGCUAGCGUUGCUCGGAAUUACUGGGCGUAAAGGGCGCGUAGGCGGCGUAAUCAGUCAGGCGUGAAAUUCCUGGGCUUAACCUGGGGGCUGCGCUUGAUACGGCUAUGCUUGAGGGUAGGAGAGGGUCGUGGAAUUCCCAGUGUA
rnacentral:rRNA from 1 species